GCACCAAGGAGGGAGAGGUAGAAACAAAGCCAAUGAGUGAGGAAAGGGAUACAGGUGUUUGCAAUCAGGGAAAGGGUCAAUAAAUGCCCUACAACUCCAACCUGUUGUGCUGGUUCUGCUGCAGGAAGGGGAGCACUGGAGCUGAAGUUGAACCUAUGGAGGAGGACUCGUCUGGAGAACUAAGUGAAGUGAUUCUGGAUGGCCAGUCCUUUAGACAUCAGUUCAGCCUGGUGUUUGGCUCUGCCCCUCUUGGUGUCAAAGAAGUGUCAGCUUGUUAUGAUCCAUUUUCUCCCAUCUGGUGAGAGGGUGCUUGUCAUGGAGAAGCUGUUCCUAUGAGCUGGCAGGCAGAGGAGGGAAGAACUUGGUGCCAUAGAGGAGCAGCUUCAAUUAAUGGUGCUGUGCUCUGUCCUGGUCUUCGAUGCUGUCUGCUCUCUGCAGUCACCAAGUUUGCAGUGUGGUGAUCCUGCCCCAUAAGCAAGGUGUGCUGAUGGAGUCACAUAGUUGUGACAGUGAAAAGGGUGGGGACUGUCUCUCCCCUUUUGCACUGAGGAUGAAUAACUUCUUCUGCAGAACUUUUGAAAGAGGUAUUUCACCUCUUUGGAAGUCUUUCAGUUGGGUCUACGGAGGAACGUUGUAUUGUUGGAAAUAGUCUUAUGCAUUUAGGUAAGAAAUUGAAAAUCUGGACCACUGUUGUGAUCCCUGGUUUGCUCUGGGCCCAUUGUUACUUGUGCUGGUAUGCUGGUACCCAUGUUGCUGUCUUGGCUUCCAGCAGUGUAACUCAUGGCUGCAGCAGGUGGAUACCAGCAGCAAGUUGAAGUUACCUCCAUUAGGUGAUGCUUGGCUGGUGAAGUCUGUGCUUGACCAAACCAGGAAUGCAAUGUGAAAUACUUCAACAGUGACUUCCAAACGUGAACCUUGAUGCAGCGGUGCUAAAACUUCCUCACCUGAGGAGUCUCCUCUACCUGCUGGGAGGAGCUACUUGAAAGGGCCCACCAGAUGAACGCUUUGCUUAUCAGUGCCCCAUCCCAGCUGCAUGCAGUUGUGCCAUGGUCCUGCUGCCCUGCACAGGGUGGUCUCCCACCCUAAUAUUGGCUGGAGGUACCUGGGGGGAGGGCUGACCCCAUUCACUCCAUCCCUGAACCCACUGUGCAUUGGGAGAAAUGGGCUGUGUGCCAGAGGAAGCACAAAGAGGGGAGAUUAAGUGACACCGAGAGCAGUAUUAAAGUUAAUGAGGAAGCAGUGUUCUAUUAAACCUAAAGCAGUCGGAGGAAAAGCAUAUGUAGCACCGCUGGAAUUUCUUGGAAGUUGAGUUACUGUCACAGAUAAUCUCCUGUUGUGCUGGUGAUUAAAGACUCGUUUUAUUCUGGGCGAGGUGGUCAUAGCCGCCCCCUUCCUGUGCAAAUCCCAGCUCAGGUGGCUGAUCAAUAUUGAUGUAUCCUGAUUUAGUGCUUUUAAAGUGUGUUGUUUUGGUAAAGUUGCCUAUGGAAAGCGAUUUUUUUUAAAUUAUUUUGCUCGAGACAGUGCCUGUGUACACAGCCCGCGUGCAGCACUACGCGGUGUGAUUCGGUCUUCAGCGGUUAACUCUCUCAAAAGUGAAUAAUGACGAAAACGACUGUUUUCAGCAGCAGCCGC